CUGUUACCGCAAGCUGCACUUCCUACUCUGAGAAAUGCUAGAUGACUGCGCCUCGGAGAGGUGAGGACGGGCAUUGAACCUCCGCCUGCACAGUCUGUCUGCACAGACUGACAAACUGAGCAGACCAGAGGAGAGGAACCACAGAAACAGGACCAGUCCAGAUACAGACCAGCCACAGAUCAGGACCUGAUGACAUGGACCAGGAUCCACACAGCAGCAGGACGAAGAAAUACUGAGUCAUGUGAAGAGACAAAAUGGACUUAGGGUCUGAUCAACAAUAGCAGAAAGACAUUGUCUCCAAAUUAAGUCAGUGUUUUGGUCUCAAGAUGCAUUUUUCUGCAUCUCUGAUCAGAAAGGUCUACCACAGUUGUACGUAUGUCUUGCAUGGCAGUGGGUGUCACAGUGGAUAACCUGGAUCUUAUUUUGACUGUGUCUCAAGAGAGACAACAGCAGUGCAGAUCCUCUGUGAAGGAGGAGGCCUGUCUGAUGGUGUCAUUCAUUCAACAGUGGUCGUUUUCCAACAGAACCAGGAGAUCCAGAGAUCAGUACAAAUCCACUUCCUGUCUCUUUAGGAUCCACAUUUACAAAAUCACUUUACCAUAUCACUCUUCUACGUCCACACAGUGUUUAAUGGUUCUUUCUUGAUGUUUCUAGCUGUGUAUGUAGAGACAUCAGCAAUGGACCUGUGAGGGGGAGGAGGACGAGACCUCAGACCCCAGACCCCAGACCACACUCUCCCACAAAAAGACAAAAUGACCCCUCUGUAACCUGAAACUGUAACUGCAAUAAACUGCAUGAACUUCAUCUUUUUCUUCUGUCUUUGUA